rnacentral:rRNA from 1 species
UACGUAGGGGGCAAGCGUUGUCCGGAUUUAUUGGGCGUAAAGAGCGUGUAGGCGGCCAGACAGGUCCGUUGUGAAAACUGGAGGCUCAACCUCCAGACGUCGAUGGAAACCGUCUGGCUAGAGUCCGGAAGAGGAGAGUGGAAUUCCUGGUGUAGCGGUGAAAUGCGCAGAUAUCAGGAAGAACACCCGUAGCGAAAGCGGCUCUCUGGGACGGUACUGACGCUGAGACGCGAAAGCGUGGGGAGCGAACAGG